UACGAAGGGGGCUAGCGUUGUACGGAUUUACUGGGCGUAAAGCGCACGUAGGCGGAUCGUUAAGUCGGGGGUGAAAUCCUGGAGCUCAACUCCAGAACUGCCUUCGAUACUGGCGAUCUUGAGUCCGGAAGAGGUGAGUGGAACUCCUAGUGUAGAGGUGGAAUUCGUAGAUAUUAGGAAGAACACCAGUGGCGAAGGCGGCUCACUGGUCCGGUACUGACGCUGAGGUGCGAAAGCGUGGGAGCAAACAGG
rnacentral:rRNA from 1 species